rnacentral:rRNA from 1 species
UACGUAGGGUGCGAGCGUUGUCCGGAAUUAUUGGGCGUAAAGGGCUCGUAGGCGGUUUGUCACGUCGGGAGUGAAAACUCAGGGCUCAACCCUGAGCCUGCUUCCGAUACGGGCAGACUAGAGGUAUGCAGGGGAGACUGGAAUUCCUGGUGUAGCGGUGAAAUGCGCAGAUAUCAGGAGGAACACCGAUGGCGAAGGCAGGUCUCUGGGCAUUAACUGACGCUGAGGAGCGAAAGCAUGGGGAGCGAACAGG